rnacentral:rRNA from 1 species
AUUGAACGCUGGCGGCAGCCCUAACACACGCAAGUCGUACGAGUGGCUGACGGGUGAGUAAUGUCUGGGAAACUGUCUGAUGGAGUGGGAUAACUACUGGAAACGGUAGCUAAUACCGCAUACCAUCGGAUGUGCCCAGAUGGGAUUAGCUAGUAGCUGGUGUAAAGGCUCACCUAGUCCACGAUCCCUAGCUGGUCUGAGAGGAUGACCAGCCACACUGGGACUGAGCCACGAUGCAGACUCCGACGGAAGGCAGCGUGGGGGGAUAGUGCACAAUGGGCGCAAGCCUGAUGCAGGCAGGCCGCGUGUAUGAGGAACGCCAUCGGGUUGUAAAGUACUUUCAGCGGGGAGGCGUUACCCGCAGAAGCAGCACCGGCUAACUCCGUGCAAGCGGCCGCGUAAUUC